GACGAACGCUGGCGGCGUGCUUAACACAUGCAAGUCGAGCGGUAAGGCUCCUUCGGGAGUACACGAGCGGCGAACGGGUGAGUAACACGUGAGCAAUCUGCCCUUCACUUCGGGAUAACUCCGGGAAACCGGUGCUAAUACCGAAUACGACCACUUCAGGCAUCUGAUGGUGGCGGAAAGUUCCGGCGGUGAAGGAUGAACUCGCGGCCUAUCAGCUUGUUGGUGAGGUAAGGCCCACCAAGGCAACGACGGGUAGCCGGCCCGACGA
rnacentral:rRNA from 1 species